rnacentral:rRNA from 1 species
UGGGAACGUACCCUUUGGUUCGGAACAACCCAGGGAAACUUGGGCUAAUACCGGAUACGUCCGUAAGGAGAAAGAUUUAUCGCCAAGGGAUCGGCCCGCGUCUGAUUAGCUAGUUGGUGGGGUAACGGCCCACCAAGGCGACGACGGGUAGCUGGUCUGAGAGGGUGACCGGCCACACUGGGACUGAGACACGGUCCAGACUCCUACGGGAGGCAG